rnacentral:rRNA from 1 species
AGAGCGAACGCUGGCGGCAGGCCUAACACAUGCAAGUCGAGCGCCCGUAGCAAUACGGGGGCGGCAGACGGGAUAGUAACACGUGGGAACGCGCCCUUCGGUUCGGAAUAACUCAGGGAAACUUGAGCUAAAUACCGGAUACGCCCUUACGGGGAAAGAUUUAUUGCCGAAGGAACGGCCCGCGUCCGAUUAGCUAGUUGGUGAGGUAAUGGCUCACCAAGGCGACGAUCGGUAGCUGGUCUGAGAGGAUGACCAGCAUCACUGGGACUGAGACACGGCCCAGACUCCUACGGGAGGCAGCAGUGGGGAAUAUUGGACAAUGGGCGCAAGCCUGAUCCAGCCAUGCCGCGUGGAUGAUGAAGGCCUUAGGGUUGUAAAGUCCUUUUAACGGGGAAGAUAAUGACGGUACCCGUAGAAUAAGCCCCGGCUAACUUCGUGCCAGCAGCCGC